ACUACGGGAGGCAGCAGUGAGGAAUAUUGGUCAAUGGACGGAAGUCUGAACCAGCCAUGCCGCGUGCAGGAAGACGGCUCUAUGAGUUGUAAACUGCUUUUGUACAAGGGUAAACCUGAAUACGUGUAUUCAGCUGAAAGUACUGUACGAAUAAGGAUCGGCUAACUCCGUGCCGGCAGCCGCGGUAAUACGGAGGAUCCAAGCUUUAUACGGAUUUAUUGGGUUUAAAGGGUGCGUAGGCGGAUUGAUAAGUUAGAGUUGAAAUGUCCGAGCUUAACUCGGGAACUGCCUCUAAUACUGUUGAUCUAGAGAGUAGAUGCGGUAGGCGGAAUGUAUGGUGUAGCGGUGAAAUGCUUAGAGAUCAUACAGAACACCGAUUGCGAAGGCAGCUUACCAAUCUAUAUCUGACGUUGAGGCACGAAAGCGUGGGGAGCAAACAGGAUUAGAUACCCGAGUAGUC
rnacentral:rRNA from 1 species